rnacentral:rRNA from 1 species
CCUGGCUCAGAUUGAACGCUGGCGGCAUGCCUUACACAUGCAAGUCGAACGGCAGCACGGGAGCUUGCUCUCGGGUGGCGAGUGGCGAACGGGUGAGUAAUAUAUCGGAACGUGCCUGGUAGUGGGGGAUAACGCAGCGAAAGCUGUGCUAAUACCGCAUACGAUCUACGGAUGAAAGCAGGGGACCUUCGGGCCUUGCGCGAUUGGAGCGGCCGAUAUCAGAUUAGCUAGUUGGUGGGGUAAAGGCCCACCAAGGCGACGAUCUGUAGCUGGUCUGAGAGGACGACCAGCCACACUGGAACUGAGACACGGUCCAGACUCCUACGGGAGGCAGCAGUGGGGAAUAUUGCACAAUGGGCGCAAGCCUGAUGCAGCCAUGCCGCGUGUGUGAAGAAGGUCUUCGGAUUGUAAAGCACUUUAAGUUGGGAGGAAGGGUUGUAGAUUAAUACUCUGCAAUUUUGACGUUACCGACAGAAUAAGCACCGGCUAACUCUGUGCCAGCAGCCGCGGUAAUACAGAGGGUGCAAGCGUUAAUCGGAAUUACUGGGCGUAAAGCGCACGCAGGCGGUCUGUCAAGUCGGAUGUGAAAUCCCCGGGCUCAACCUGGGAACUGCAUCCAAAACUGGCAAGCUAGAGUACGGUAGAGGGUGGUGGAAUUUCCUGUGUAGCGGUGAAAUGCGUAGAUAUAGGAAGGAACACCAGUGGCGAAGGCGACCACCUGGACUGAUACUGACACUGAGGUGCGAAAGCGUGGGGAGCAAACAGGAUUAGAUACCCUGGUAGUCCACGCCGUAAACGAUGUCAACUAGCCGUUGGAAUCCUUGAGAUUUUAGUGGCGCAGCUAACGCAUUAAGUUGACCGCCUGGGGAGUACGGCCGCAAGGUUAAAACUCAAAUGAAUUGACGGGGGCCCGCACAAGCGGUGGAGCAUGUGGUUUAAUUCGAAGCAACGCGAAGAACCUUACCAGGCCUUGACAUGCAGAGAACUUUCCA